rnacentral:lncRNA from 1 species
AAAUUCUAAAAAUCUUUAAUAGCAACUUUUAGUCCAUACAUCAUAUUAAUAGCCCAUAAAUUCUAAAAAUCAACAGUGUUACAGUAAUUAAAUAGCAAAUAAUUAGAUUUUUUAACCAUAAUACCCGGCUAGAUUCCGGCAUCGGAAUCCCUACCUUCCGGCGGAAUCUCCGUUGGAAUCAGGAAUUCUGAAGAUGCCAGAGGCUUCUAGAGGGGUAAAAUGUAUUUUCAAAAAUGUUUUUACUGAUUUCAUGGUUUUAAAUAGAAAAGAAUUGAGUUUUGAAAAGAAAAAACUAAGGAGGCAUUUGACAGGUUCGGCCGCCGAAAGUGAAGUUCGGCCACCGAACAUGAAGUUCGGCCACCGAACAUGAAGUUCGGCCACCGAACAUGGGAAGGUUUUGGGAGCGCUUUUGGCCUCCGAAAGCUUUGUUUGAACGAACCAGGGUUCGGCCACCGAACCUCAAGUUCGGCCGCCGAACAUGCAUGAGUUUAGGGGGCACGUUAGGCUGCCGAAGGUCGUUGACCAGGCCACCUAUAAAGAGCCCUCAGAUCAGAAAUGGGCGAGUUUUCUCCCCAUUCUCGAGCUCAGGUGAGUUUAUACUCUCCUUUGGUCGUUUUCAUGCUUUCUCUACCCAUCCCUCAAGUUUUCAUGAGUUCUACCCUUGUUUUGAAGUUUUGAAACUUAAAUAGGAGUUUUGGGAGCUUGGAGGCUUUUGGAGCUUGGAUCCUCCACACCUCCGAGUUAGGGAUCGCACCAACCUUCGAUCUUCAAGAGGUAAGUGUAGAUCUUUGCUUUCCUUGUGUUUUAAUGAAGUUUUAAGUAAGUUUAAUGAUGUUUUGAUGGUUGAGUAUGGGUAGAUUUGCAUUUUUAGGUUUAUGUGGGUUUUAUGCCCAAUGUAUGUUAUGUGAUGUUUGUGUUGAGGAAUUUAUGUUAGUUUAUGCUCCUUUAUGCAUGUGGGAGAGUGUAUGCAUGAUUGGGAGAGAGCAAGUGAGGUUUUGAGUAGUUUUGAUGAUUUUGGCUUAUGUGGGUCAUAAGCUAUUUAUGUAUGCUUUAUGAUGUUCUUUGUUGGAGUUUAAGCUUGUUUAAGCUCCUUUGUGCAUGGUUAAGGGUUUAUGCAUGUUUUUUUAAGGUUGGGUGCUUGUUUGGGGGUGUUUGGUAAGGUUUUGGAGGCUGGUAUGCACGAGAGGCUGAGUUCUGAUGAACUCAGGUUCGGCCGCCGAAGGUAGUUUCGGCCGCCGAACCUGCCUGUGGAUGCAUGGUUUGGCCGCCUAACCUUGCCCCCGAAAGUUGUGUUUCAGAUCUGGAGUAGACUUUCGGCCGCCGAAAGUGAUGUUCGGCUGCCGAAAGUGCCUGACUUUCGGAUCUAGAGAGAGGGUUCGGCCGCCGAAGGUGCCCCCGAACCUGCAUGGCUUUCGGCUCUGGAAGGGACAUUCGGCCGCCAAAAGUGCUGCCGAAAGUGUCCUGUCCAGCCCUUUCAUGGGCAUUUUCUAUGCAUGUUUUGAGGAUGUUUUAAGAGGUUUUUGGGGAGUUGUUUAUGAGUUGUUUAGAGUGUGUUUGGCACCUCAUUCGAGUCCACCUGUGUAGGAUUGGACCCGAGGGACCGAGGAGGCCAUCGGUGUUAGCUGUUGCAGAGUCAAUCCAGCGUCUGCCAGAGGUGAGUAGAACUAAACUUAAUAUUUUAUUUUACGAAAUCAAAUGCCUAAAGCAUGUUCAUGCAUCAUGUUUAUAUGUAAUAGGUUGAUUGCACUAGUCAUACGAAUAUGACGCAUUGCAUUAUUUACUGUUGAUGUGGAUGGACCAAGGCGACCCCAAUAGCCCUAGAUAUGUUAUGUUAAUGAAAUCCUGAGGAGCCCCACCGAGGGCCGGGCAUAAUGAAGUCCUGAGGAGCCCGAAGGGCCGGGCAUAAUGAAGUCCUGAGGAGCCCAAAGGGCCGGGCACCAUGAUAUGUUACAGACAGAGGGAGUUUUGGUGGUCAUGUCCAUCCGUUAUGUGAAUUGUUUGUGUUGUAACGCAUUUCAUGAAAGCAUAUAAUUAAUGAACUGUUUUUCUGUUUCUACUCACUGGGCUUUUUAGCUCACCCCUCUCCCCUAACUCCAGUGUUGCAGGUUUGAGGAAGAUUGGAAAGUCUCAAGAGUUAAAGUCUUGUUAUGUAAUAGGUUAGCAUCUUUAGUGUGGACAUGUAUUGUAAAUCGAUAUAAUGGAUUGUAAGAUAAUGAAAUGUAAUGUAAUGCAAGUAUAGUAGAGUUGUGUUAUGUAUUAGUACUGUGCUUGGCCCUAAGACUUGGUUAGUCCCUUUUUAAUACAUGAUGUAUGUUAUGUUUAGUGUUGAGUUGUAUUUGACCUAAACUUGUAGCAUGUGUUGUUUACCACGCUAGAGUAUUUGAUGAGGACCCUAGUGGAGGUCUUAUGUUUGUGGUUUGAUGCAUGCACAAGUUAGAUUUUGGUUCAUUGGAUGUGAUUCCAGCUUGAUGUAUGUUAUGUUGACCCAACUAGAGUUUUGAUGAGGGCUCUAGUAGGGGGGUUCUUUAUGUUUCCAGUUAUGUCGCAUGCAGGUCAAGCUCGGUCUAUACAUCUUAUAUUACAGUUUUUAUGUUAAAGUUUUGAUCAUGUAUGGGAUUUGACCAGGUGAUAGGAAGUAUGUUUGGCUUGCUACGGGUCCCGGCGGCCUUAAGCCGAUCUGGAUCCUAGCGCCGAUAGCGAUUCGGGCCGUUACAUAGGGGUAUCGGUUUUCGGGUCGUUACAUUAACAGUAUCCAAAUAAUCAAAUUAAUAGUCCAUAAAUUCUAAAAAUCUUUAAUAGCAACUAAAAAUUCUUUAACAACAUGCACAUAAAAGAUCUUGAUUAUCAAAAAAUUUGAUUGCAAACCUGAAGAGAGUUCCAGUCAAAGGAGAUGUCGCCGACGCCGAUUGGGGAGAGGCAAGGGUUGUCUCCAGCAGUCAUCAGUGAAGUGGGGGAGAGAAGCGUCAAUUGGAAAGAGUAGAUAUCACCGACUGGGGAGAGAGAAGGAGAUGUCGUCGAUGCCGACCGAGGAGAGGGAAGAGUUGUCUCCGACUGGGAAGUGGGAGACGUCGCCAC